CCUACGGGAGGCAGCAGUGAGGAAUAUUGGUCAAUGGGCGCGAGCCUGAACCAGCCAAGUAGCGUGAAGGAUGAAGGCCCUACGGGUUGUAAACUUCUUUUAUAAAGGAAUAAAGUGAGGCACGUGUGCCUUUUUGUAUGUACUUUAUGAAUAAGGAUCGGCUAACUCCGUGCCAGCAGCCGCGGUAAUACGGAGGAUCCGAGCUUUAUCCGGAUUUAUUGGGUUUAAAGGGAGCGUAGAUGGGUUGUUAAGUCUGUUGUGCAAGUUUGCGGCUCAACCGUAAAAUUGCAAUUGAUACUGGCAGCCUUGAGUACAGUUUAGCUAGGCGGAAUUCGUGUUGUAGCGGU
rnacentral:rRNA from 1 species